ACUCUUCUGUAUCUGUGCUGCGAUUUCGUCGCACACCAGACCACAAGAACUGAUGAAAACCCCAAGGUAAGUGAAGCG
rfam:Schistosoma margrebowiei strain Zambia genome assembly, scaffold: SMRZ_scaffold0002262